rnacentral:rRNA from 1 species
GACAGAGGGUGCAAACGUUGUUCGGAAUUACUGGGCGUAAAGCGCGUGUAGGCGGCAGGGCAAGUCGGAUGUGAAAUCCCGUGGCUCAACCACGGAAGUGCACCCGAAACUGCCCAGCUAGAGUCUCGGAGAGGAAGGUGGAAUGCUUGGUGUAGAGGUGAAAUUCGUAGAUAUCAAGCGGAACACCGGUGGCGAAGGCGGCCUUCUGGACGAUGACUGACGCUGAGACGCGAAAGCGUGGGGAUCAAACAGG